UUGCAGUACACGAAAGUGUGACAGGGUCAUCCCGCGUGCCGACCGCUGAGGUUGGCUUUUACCUAGUCUCGAAAGCUGGGGGAAUAAGGAGAGGGCAAGUCUGGUGUCAGCCGCCGCGGUAAUACCAGCUCUCCGAGUGGUGUGGACGUUUAUUGGGCCUAAAGCAUCCGUAGCUGGCUGUUCAAGUCCCCUGUUAAAUCCACCGAUUUAAUCGUUGGCUUGCGGGGGAUACUGUUCGGCUAGGGGACGAGAGAGGCAGACGGUAUUCCCGGGGUAGGGGUGAAAUCCUAUAAUCCCGAGAGGACCACCAGUGGCGAAGGCUGUCGGCUAGAACGCGCCCGACGGUGAGGGAUGAAAGCUGGGGGAGCGAACCGG
rnacentral:rRNA from 1 species